rnacentral:rRNA from 1 species
AACGAACGCUGGCGGCAUGCCUAACACAUGCAAGUCGAACGAGACCUUCGGGUCUAGUGGCGCACGGGUGCGUAACGCGUGGGAACCUGCCCUUAGGUUCGGAAUAACUCCCCGAAAGGGGUGCUAAUACCGGAUAAUGUCUUCGGACCAAAGAUUUAUCGCCUUUGGAUGGGCCCGCGUUGGAUUAGCUAGUUGGUAGGGUAAAAGCCUACCAAGGCGACGAUCCAUAGCUGGGCUGAGAGAAUGAUCAGCGACACUGGGACUGGGACACGGCCCAGACUCUUACGGGAGGCAGGAGUGGCGAAUAUAGGACAAUGGCGGGAAGCCUGAUCCAGCAAUGCCGGGUGAGUGAUGAAGGCCUGAGGGUUGUAAAGCUCUUUUACCCGGGAUGAUAAUGACGGUACCGGGAGAAUAAGCUCCGGCUAACUCCGUG